GGGAAGCGCUGGGGCCGGGGCCGGCUUCCCGGGAGCCAGCGGGAGCGGGGCGCGUAGCAGGCGGGCUAGGAAGAACCAGCCGGCGACUGGAAGGGCAGAGGAGGAGCUCCCCCUCAGCGACCCUUCUGGCCGAGUGCGGGGUCGAGGGUUUGAGGCACAAAGGGCGCAGAACGUUUUCUGCUGUGAGAGGAACAUUAAGAAUCUUGGGAGGGCUGGGGCUAACGCCUCCGGGAGCCCCACGUGGCCUGCCUAGGGUUCGAUGUGCAGCCAGGGUGCUGGGAGGGGGCCGCUGCUGGGCCCCAGAUAGAGGGAUGGAGGCCAUUCAGUCACGGAGCCAGGCCCCACCUGCUGUAGAAACCGCCAUCAAGAGCUGGCCGGGCUUGCUGUACGCUCUGGAUUCCGCCUGCCUGUAGACGAGGCACAAGGGACUGCGAGACCAGGCCUGAAGGCAGAGAGGUCAGCAGGCUCGGGGGCCUCUGCUCCAGCGGACAACAAGCGCACCUGGCGGGAACGGCCGCCUCCCCAGGCGCUGCAGCCCAGCCCUCAUGUGACCCAGGGAACUUAGCCCUCUGUUCUGUUUGCAUACCUGCAAAGUGUGGGCAUUCACGCCGGGCCUGCCAACUCACCAGGUUAUUUAUAGUGACAAGAGAGUGAGACAGUGGGCAUGAACGUGUUUUCCAAACCAAGGCUCUGUCCACAUAUAGGUGGAUUAACUGUCUGGCAAAGGCAGGUGAGUGACGUUGAUGCCUAUUAGCUCUAAUGUGGAUACUGUUUGGACCGGGAUGUACUUCUGUGACCCGGGGUGAACUGUAUAGCAACCCUCGAGGGAUUCCUGUCACCUGACAGUAUCUGAAAGACACUCAUAUUCUGACCCUCACAACAUAGUCAGUCCAUUUCCAACAGUACUGGUUUUAAAGGAUGUAAAUUGCAGUGCAGAGAAUUGUCAGACACAAGGAGUAAUGAUCGAAAUAUGAUGGUCAUUGGACCUUGUCUUGGGAGAAAGAGCUAAAACUGUGAUCUAGAUAGUCUCACAGACUUGAACAUGCUUUGGAUUUUAGGUUUUUGCAAAUCAGGCUCAUUCUAAUAUUUUCUCCCAAAUGCUGAGGUAGGAGCCCUAUGAUCUCUUGUUUCUCCCUAGGAAUCCAUUGAAGAGGCCAUCUCCACAUUCAGAAUCAAGGCAGCCACCUUUCAACAACCCAUGAAGUGUCUGGAGCUCCACCCUCUGCUCAAGAGGAACGGCACAUGACCCAGGUCUCUUGCCAAUCAGCAUUUCACAUUCCUCAUGAUCGGUUCAAAGGUUGGCCUUGUGACUUGAUGUGACCAAUAGAAUGUGGCAGAAGUGAUGUUGAACAACUUUCAAGUCUAGACUUGCAGUUUCUACUUAUGCUUUCUUGAAACACUGCCCUGAGACCACCAUGUAGGGAUGGAUGUUGCUAUAACCUCCUGGAGGAUAAGUGGGCAUGGAGAAGGAGAGCUAAUGCAUCCCAGCCAUCAAUCAGCACUGACUGCCAAUCAUUUGAGUGAGGUCAGCUUGGACCAUCCAGCUGUUCUUGCCAUCAUCUGACUGCAAUUACAUGAGUAAGCCCAGUGGGCCCUCAUCUAACAUGGCUGCGUCAUUCUAAGAAGAGAGUAGGACACCAACAGGUACAGAAGGAAGAACACGUGAAGACGCAGGGAGAAGAUGGUUCCCCGAAAGCCAAGGAGAGAGGCCUCAGGAGAAACCAGCACCUUGAUCUUGGACCUCCAGCCUCCAGAACUGUGAGAAAAUAAAUUUCUGUUGUUUAAGCCCCAGUAGCUGGUGUUUUGUUAUGGCAGCCUGAGCUGACUACUACAAAGGGUUAUGUCACUUGCCACCAUAAGUCAAGGAAAGAGGUGAUUUUGGAAAAGAACUUUUGUUCAGAAAAUAUGAAAUGGAAAGGUCUCAUCUCAGGGUCCUCCUGUUUGGAGUUUAUCCUUCAUUCUGUGGAGAGGAAUGUGACAGAUGCGGUAGAAUGGGGAGAGCAACCUGUGUUUUCCGGCUGGCUUGUGAAGCCACGGUGCAGGCAAUGGCCUGGGGCCAACCUCACCCUGCCAGGAUUUCAGCAGGCACUUAAGCAAGAAUAAAGACACACACACACACACACACACACACACACACACACAGAAUAUAAGAGACAGACUUUGAGUAUUUAAUGUAAAAAGGAAAAAUGAUUUUUUCUUCCACUAGCAGAUAUGCUUAGAACAUCACGAUGAUGUCCCUAAAGUAGCCAUGAACAUAUUUUUGACUCAAUAUCAUUUCAGUGACUUUAAUAGAGGAUUUUUUACUGGGUUUUAAAAAGUCUGAAGAUCUCCACAGUCAUUCUUGUUCCAACAUGUAGGAAUAGCUGGCUCUCAAUUAGCUGUCUUAUUAAAAGGAAUCACAGGGCUACCUAUUAUUAGUGUAUAUUAUUUUUCUCAAUGCUUUAGAUAAUUUGGCAUUUAUUUACUGUUGCCAUAGGAACCCAGGUCUGUAAUAAGGGUUCUUUCAGUUCUGACAAUUAGGCUUAUAGAAAAGAAUAUUUUAAUGAGGUGAGGAAUUUGGAGAGCCUAGCCAGAGGUCUGGCGGAAGAACGUUGUUCUCUAAACAGUUACAAAAUUAGCUUAGAUUGUCCUUUGUUACAAUUGCCUUCUUUGACAGCUACUGAGUGUUCAUUAGUCAGACCUCCCUGAAGAUCUGCGGUUUUCCAUAAAGAUUGAGGUUUUCUUAUUCCUUAGAAAAUGAUAUGCUGUUCAAUCCCAUCUCCCUCUUACACCUGGGCUGCUCUUGAGUUAGAGGGAAUGCAGCUUCUCCUUGCUGUCAAUCAGAGAAAGACUAGAUUUACCUUAAGCUUCACAGAAAAUACCCUUUUUAAAAAAUUACUUGAGAAAAACAAUUAUGCCUUUCUAUAUUAAGGAAUAUUUGGAAGGCAUAAAUCUUGUCUUUCUUAUAUUCUUUGCAUAUAAAAUAUUUUGGAGGAAUAUUUAUUAAUUAAUUUUAAUGACAGAUGACCCGUGCACAAAGCACAAAAAUCAAGAGGCAUUCAGUGAAAUAUUAGUCUCCCUUCUACCCUUGUCCCCAGAGGACAACCAUUGUUACCUGUUUCCUUUGUAUUCUUCUAAAGUUAUUCUCUGCAAUCAAAUGCACACACACACACACACACACACACACACACGCAAUGACAGCAUGUUAAGGAUACUGUAUGGUAACUUUUUUUCCCCACCUACUACUGAGAGUUGGGUGCCAUUCUAUUUCAUUACGUAAAGAGCUGCCUUGUCUUUUAUAAGAGCUUUUCCCUGUAAUUAUUUAGCAAUCAUGUAUUGAGUGCUACAGACAUGGUGUGGGGCCCUAGCAACAUCAAGGUGAGGACCACAGAGCCCCUGCUCUCAGAAGCCCACAUGAGUAGAAGAGGCAGACACCUUUGGAAGCGGCUGCUGCCCAGUGCACAGUGCUAUGAGUAAGUCAAGUGGAAGGGGAGGUGGAUGCACACAGGAGGGAGUCUGGCUUUGUUCAGAUGCUGCUUGAGCAGCAUUUUGAAGGGUAAACCAGGGACUUGCAGGUAGAAAAGGAAGGCAAGUUUAUUCCUGGUAAAGGAAGCAAUAAAUGCCAAAUCUUAUAGAUUAUAAAACAGCAUGGUGUUUUGGGGAAUUGAAGGUUUGGUUGGGUUUGUUAUGGUUGGCGAGCAGGGUGUGUGUGUGGUGUGUGUGUGUGUGUGUGUGUGUGUGUGAAAUUAGAUCAGCGGUUUUCAGACUUCUUGACCACAAUCCAGUUAAGAAAUAUAUUUUACACCGCCACACAAUGUAUAUGUGUGUUUGUGUGUGUGUAAAACAGACACAAAAUGUCAUAAAACAAUACCCUUAUUAAAUGUACUCCAGUAUUUUUCUACUAAAUUCCAUUCUACUUUUAUUUUUGGAGACAGAGUC